rnacentral:lncRNA from 1 species
UACAUGCCAUUAUGAACAGUAGAGAAUACAUGAUGCCUGUUCUGGAAGAAUGGGCCUCAUAUUAGUCAACCAUAGAAGAGACCACAAAUUCCUGUUUUGGGUGUUACUGGGAAUGCCAGAAGAACAUGACAUGCCUAUGUCACAUUCAGGAGCUUGGGGGCUCUAGGUUGGAGAAUUGAGACAAUUCCUAUCUGAUGAUGAAUCAGAUGAGU